GUUGAAACUCCAGUCCUCGUACGAUCACCUAAGAUAAGCAACGUCGAGCGUAGUCAGUACCUAGAUGGGUGACCACUUGGGAAUAUCAGGUAAUGUAAG